CCUGGCGGCACUAGCGCGGUGGUCCCACCUGACCCCAUGCCGAACUCAGAAGUGAAACGCCGUAGCGCCGAUGGUAGUGUGGGGUCUCCCCAUGUGAGAGUAGGGAACUGCCGGCA
rnacentral:rRNA from 1 species